UACUUAAUAGUUUAACAAAAACCUUAAUCUUGUAAAUUGAAAAUGCUUUAUAGCUUAAGUAG
rnacentral:tRNA from 1 species